AUGUUAUGAUUUAUUAUUAAUAUUAUUAUUUGGCUUUGACUAGGUGUGAAAUGGACCAGACCGUUAUAAUCCAUUCCUCCGCCCAUGAACAACGAUUCCAGUUCAGCAUGGAGGCCUUCAAAUUCAUCGGACUCCACGACCAGGUCUACAUCAGCUGUUCAGUCCUGAUGUGUGAAGCAGAAAGCCCCAACACCAGAUGCUCACAGGGAUGCAUCAGAUCCACAGAGUCUGGCAUUCACCACCAAAAGAGAGAGGCUGUGAUGCAGAGUGCAAAUCACUUUGUUUCUCAGGGUCCUCUGCGCUUAAGGAGAUCAGCUGAGAGCACCAGAAGCACAGUGACCAGCCUGAAUCUCAACCUGGUGUUCAUCGCUGGAUGUUUUCUUGCAGCUGUUGGCAUGAUUUGUGCAGUGGCCAUGCACAGAGCCAAAAUGUCAAAGGUCAAAUACCAGUCUUUGCCUGUGUUUGAAAGUUAAGACAACAUUGCGUGUCUACAGCUUUUAACAUUUGUUAAAAUACAGCAAAUAAAACUAGAAAUCAACAACAAAUAAUCAACUAUACUGCAGCUGCUAAAUGUGUCAUCGUCAUUUAAACUGGUCAUUAUAGAUAAUGGUUCACUUGAUUCAGUGGAAGAGGUUGGUGUUAAAUCCAAAGUCUCAUUCUGUGCAAAAACAUGUUCUCAAAUUUGAUUCAAGUUCAUUUGAGCUGUGUUUGUAUUUUUCUUUUGAGACUAAU
rnacentral:lncRNA from 1 species